rfam:Felis catus isolate Cinnamon breed Abyssinian chromosome C1, whole genome shotgun sequence.
GCCUGGGUGGCUCAGUCGGUUGAGCGUCCGACUUCGGCUCAGGUCAUGAUCUCACGGUUCGUGGGUUCGAGCCCUGCAUUGGGCU